ensembl:lincRNA
CUACUUAACUGAUUGUGAAUUAACAUUAUUUGUGUUAUAGAAUGAAUUGGAAAAGCAAAUACUUCUGUGUUCUACUGUCAAAGGUUGGGAGGCAGACCAUGAAUGCUGUGGCCUCUGCACUCAAAGAAAGAAAAACUGGAAUCCAUUUCAAGCUAAAGAGGAAAUUCAACCUGGACUAUCCUUCUUUCAAGAAAAUUAACAAAGUACCAAUGGAGUUCUUUAUCUAUGGAGUGCAGACUUCAUUAAUUAAUCCUUUUUAUCUGUGACAGCUAAAGAUUUGCUGAAGCCUUGGAUGCCUUCAGAGAAGCUUAGAAGGCAGGAUCAGCUGCUUUCCCACACCUAAAUCCGUUUCCUCUGCACUAGCUAACUGCUGCACUGAAGAUUCUACAAAAGGGCAUAAUGUGAAAGAAAGGCAAAGCAAUGCUGGUAUUGUUGUAAUAUGAUGUUUAUGGUAGAAGCAACAUUUUUGACCUUUCUUCCUGUGGGGCACUCUUGUUGGUUCCUCAGUGUAUUAGAAAACUAAAAAAAUGAGCACUUAUUUACUUCCUGCAGUAAGAAGUCUGAUGUUAAGCAGCUCAGAAAUUUUAAAAGGCAGCAUAACAAUGCCAUCAAGAAUCCAUGUUCUCAUCUUUCUACUUCUCCAUCCUUACGUGUUGGCAUGUAUUUUCAUGCCUGUUUUAACGUAGGGGCAAGAGAAAAGUUGUGCCUUAAAGUUUACAUCUUUGUUACAGAUAAGUACAAAAGAAAAAUAUGGACAGUACUGAGUCAUAUUAAUUGAGUUAGUCCCUUUUUGACAAGAACAGAAAAUACCUUAAAGUUUUGUAAUGUAACAUUUUAAGUAAACAAUUUUGGGACAGUUUAUAUUGAAAGAAAAAUUGUGAAGAUAGUACAAAGAGUUUCCAUAUACUUUUAACCCGGUUGCUCCUACUGUUAAUUUCUUACAUUAUAUGCUAAUUUAUUAUAAUUAAACCAAUAUUAAUAUAUUAUUAACUAAAGCCCCCACUUUAUUCGGCUUUUCUUAAUCGUUAACAUAUCUUUUUUGUCUGUGUAGGAUUCCAUCUACAACACUUCAUUGCACUUAGUUAUUAUAUGUCCUUAGAUGCUUCUUGGCUACAACAGUUUUUCAGACUUUCCUUACUUUUAAUGACCUUGAAAGUGCCGAGAAGUACUAGUCAUGCUUUGUAGAAGUUGGGGCUUGUCUGAUGUUUUUCUCAUGAUUAGGCUGUGGUUACGUUCUUCAAAAAGGAAGAUCACAGAAAUAAAAUAUCAUUUUCUUCAAGUCAUGCCAAGGAUCUAUACUAUCAACAUGACUUGUGACUGCUAAUACUGACUUUGAUCACAUGGCUGAAUUAGUUUUUCAGAUUUCUCCUCAGUAAACUUAUUUUUUCCAUCCUGUACUCUUUAGAAAGAAAUUACUCUGUGUAGCUCUCACUUAAAGAACAGAGGCUCUUAGUGGUGGCUCAUGCCUUAAUCCCAAUACUUUGGGAGGCUGAGGCAGGUGAAUUGCUUGGCCCAGGAAUUUGAGACCAGCCUGGGCAACAUGGCGAAACACCUUCUCUACAAAAAAUAAAAACAAAUUAGUCAGGCAUGGUGGCAAACGUCUGUAGACCCAGCUACUCAGUAGGCUGAGGUGGGAGGAUUGCUUGAGAUUGGGAGGUUGAGGCUGCAAUGAGCUGAGUUGUGCCACUUUACUUCAGCCUGGAUGACAGAGCAAGACCCUCUCUCAAAAAAUAAUAAGAAAAAGAAUAGAGGUUCUGCUCUACCUCCUUAAAGGUAGAUUAUCUACAGAAAUUAUUUGGAAUUUCAGGUGACAGCCUGGGAACCUAUGCAAUGGGCCUCAAAGUACAUAAAAAACAUUGUAAUCUUUAAUUGGUAUGUCUGAAAAAUUACUUAAAAUAAUCCUAAACUUAAUUCAUAGUAUUAUUUCUUAAAGUAAGUUUUCUCCACCUACUCCUUAGUAUCUUUCUUAUCUUGCAGAUUUACUAAAGUUUCUCUGUUCAAGCUAUGUUCUCAAAUUAAUAAUGAAUGUCAUACAAAAAACCCCUUAAAAUCCCCCCAAAAUUUAUAUUUAAGGCUUUUUUCCUCUUUUUCUCCACUUUUGUUCUUUCUAUAGUUCUUUAUUUCUUAUUCUGGGGACACAUUUCUCUCCAUAUCUAUGAAAAAAUAUUCUAUAUCCCAGUUUAGAUGAUUGUGUAUCUCUAUCUAUUGAUAGAGAGAUAUCCAUUGUGUAUCUCUAUCUAUUGAUAUCUAUCUUUCUCCAUUCUAUUGAUUCUAGAUCACACAAACUCCUUAACUAGACUGGUUGGCCCAGAACUUUUCCUAAAUGAUGGAGGCAUGGAGUGAAGUGCAGAGACAAAAGCCAGAAUGACUUUUAUUAGUCGGCAGUAGAGGAUAAAAAGAAUAGGUUGAACACAUGUAAUUAAAUACAUUUUAUUUGGCCCAUAGUAACUUAAUAUUUGAGAGGAGGAUGUUACUUAGGUCACAUGUGUGACUUAAUGGGCAAUUUCUUUAGCCAAAAUGUCAUCAAGUGAAUUGGCAACUGCAGAUUAACAGUGCAAAAGUUUGCUUAAUUUGUGCCCACAGUGCCUGAAGAGAGCAGUACCUAAAAUUCUCAUUUGUGAUUAGUAUUAGGUGAAAAUACUCAGCUCCUGUGUCAACUAGCGUGACCUGAAGCGCUUUAUUUAGAUAUUAAUCAUGUUAUAAUUAAAUAAAAUGCUGGCUUACUUCAGUUAUACUACAGAUCAUGGUGCCCCUUUUUCUAUAGUCAUGAUCAUUGAGGAGUAGAAUACUGCUUAUAAAUUUAAUCAAAAUAUAUUUGUUGUCUAAUUUCUAAUAGAAAAUUUUACAUAAAGCUAAUUUAAAAAGCUGACAUGAGCCAUUUUUUUUGAAAGAGAAAGGUUAGAGGAUGAAAACAGUUUUUAAAAGUACCUGUAGUAUUCUAAAAAAUAAAUUAAUUUUAAUAAACAUAUCUCUAGUUUUGUGGGCUUUUCUUAUAACUUCUCAUUACUUCCUCAGCUAUUCAUUUUGUGAUGUCCCUGUGUCAGUUGCAGUGUUUCCUGUGGGACAACUGUGUCUUAAUAUUUUAGUAAGAGGACAGCCAUGUAAUUAUCUAUAAAUAAUUUAGCAUGUGUUUCAUUUAUGUGAAAAUGAUCCAAUUAGCCAAAGUGGGGGAAAAAUAAAAACUUUCUAUGAAAUGUUAAGCCACUUACAGUAUGGUUUAAUUAAUUAAUUCAUUAUUACUUUAG